CUGCAGUUUCCAGCAAUUUCAGGCUUUCCUGUUCAACUGGCAGUCAAUGCCUCAGCAGCAAUCAACAUAAAAAUCAAAGGGAAUGCUGAUUUCAAACAACAGUCUGAUUUCUUUCUAAAUGGAUAUAUCAAGCCAAGUGCAUUUGUUCAGCUUUCUGUCCAAGUGGGAAUUGUGGGGACUCUGGGACAAGCUGGCCUAAAGUGGUUAACAGGAAUGAGGACAUCUACUAGUCUUGAUGGGGGAAUCCAGGUGAAGAAAGGGAAAGAACUCAAGGUUUUCUUGAACACUCCAGAAGAAUCUAUGGAGUUAAUUAAUUUCAGGUAAGAUUAAGCACAGGUAUCUUCAAAAACAGUAAUUGUUAAUUUUCUUGUAUAUAACUGACAAUUUUGUUUAAAUAUUUCUGUAACUCUAGCAUAAUUGUUUUUAAGUUUUUGUUCAAAAUUCUUGGUUGUAGCUCUAAACUCUACUUCAGAAUGGUGGAUGAGACAGAAGAUACAGAUGACUUCCAAGACAACACAGAAACCAGAUCUUGCACUAGGGAAGAAGUAUCUGAGAUUAUUGGCUGGCAACUGUGUUCUGAAAUGUCCUAUCCUGACCCAGCCAGUGGUUUGGUUUUGCCCCUCACCGGACCUUUGCUAGUGGCUGUGACAUUAACUAAGCAAGACAGAGGCCUGCAGCAGUACGUGGUGGAAGCUGCCUAUAACUACAUAGCUCAGGAGAAUUCAUGGAUCCCUAGUGAAGCUGUCUUUCACUUCUUCCUUGGGACUCCAAAGUCAGACUUGAAGAGAGAGAUUGGUGUUGACCUAAGUUUUAGUAUCCCACAGAAAAAAUUCAGAAUCCAAUUUAUACAACCUAAGAAAAAAAUUGAGAUUGAUGGGAGGAUUGAGUUUUCUAAAAAUUCUCAAGUUGGACACCUGGAGCUGAUAGUGGAUGACCGAGAUGUGUAUUACAUUAAGGGAAUGGCAGAUUUGCAGAUGCUGAGUGGAGAGCAGAAAUACAUGACCCAGCUGGAGGUAAAGCUGAUAAAGCAAAGCAGUCCUAUCAUUUUGUCAGGAAACAUCACUAAACAGCUUGGCAAGAAGAUAGCUGUUUCAGUAUCUCUGAAUAAUUUGUUGAAGGAUGCUGCAUUUCUU
rnacentral:lncRNA from 1 species